UGGGGGAUCGUCUAAUGGUAGGACACGGGACUCUGGAUCCCGGCGUAUAGGUUCGAGUCCUAUUCCCCCAG
rnacentral:tRNA from 1 species